rnacentral:rRNA from 1 species
CCACAUUGCCAUAUCACCCUGAAUGCGCCCGAUCUUGUCUGUUUCUAGAAGCUAAGCAGAGUCGGACCUGGUUAGUUCUUGGAUGGGAGAAUAUCAUUCUCAAUGGGGA